UACAGAGGUCUCAAGCGUUGUUCGGAUUCAUUGGGCGUAAAGGGUGCGUAGGCGGCGCGGUAAGUCGGGUGUGAAAUCUCGGAGCUUAACUCCGAAACUGCAUUCGAUACUGCCGUGCUUGAGGACUGGAGAGGAGACUGGAAUUUACGGUGUAGCGGUGAAAUGCGUAGAGAUCGGGAAGAACAUCAGUGGCGAAGGCGGCCUGCUGGGCUGUUGCUGACGCUGAGGCACGAAGGCCAGGGGAGCAAACGGG
rnacentral:rRNA from 1 species